GAAUUUGCAUUUAUGUUACAUUCAAUAUAGGAUUAGGGAUGGGACAACACAUCAUAACUGUUUGUCUUCAUCCUGAAAUACCUGCUGCCAGGACCUAAUGCGGCAGGUAACUUAAGCACUCUUCCAGAUUCAAAUAUUUUUUUUGUGGCCAGGUGUAAUUAAGCUGUUGUCAUUGUCGAGGUUAUUAUUUUAAGUGAUAGAAAAAGCUAAAAAUUGGAAGAAAAUUGGUUUUCUUCGAAAGGGUAAGAAGUCAGCUACGGCUGCGAAUCAUGAGACAAACAUUAGGGAUCUCGUUCUCCAGGCUACUGUUGUGUGCUUUAUGCUUCGACUUCCUGAUGUUUACCUCCUUGAUAGAAUUUAAUAGCAUGUAAAUGUCUUCAAAACCUCGUCCAUCUGCUGACUAUUAUGUUUAGCUCGACAGAAUUUUGAAAUCAGUUUUCCUUUAGUGGUGUUGUUGGAGUGACCGAACAUGAAUCAUAGGUUAUUCUGAUCAUGAACAUCUCUCAAACAAACUUACAGUAUGUUAUGCAUUAUCUACGUUGUCCCUCAUCAUACGCUCUUGGGUACCAAGCAUGUCGUUUAUGCCAGAAUGUAAAUAAAAGUUUGCAUCAAGACAUCAUUUACUUAGCAUGCUAUUUGACUAUAUGAACACACCCUCAUUCUUUCUAAUUAGUCUUUCCUACAUUUUUGCUUUCUCAUGUGAUCGAGUAUAAGUGGUCGCUCUAUGCUUUAUUUCUUCAAAUGCUCCUACGCUACAUACCUUAUUUAUUUCCUUGAUUGGAUUUUUGUGUUUACAUUUUUCAAUUCCCUUUCUUUUUUUAGUUGAUCAUGUCUUUACAUUCUUUAUCUCUCCUGUUUUGCAUGAAUCCACAGUGGAGUUCAAGUAGACUAUCUCCGGUGCAUUCCUCAUCGGGCCAAUGAGGCCUAUCUUAUUGAGUCCAGUCCAAUGACCUAAAAGUGACCCUGCGGUGAUGAAUACGAGGAGUUAGAAAAAGAAAGGCGAGUUAAAGACCCACAUUUAAAGUGGCUUGAGUAACUCUAAUCUUGAUGAUUUCUACCAUGAAAAUGGCCUUGGUAAAGGCAUGCACAUAAGGUGUUUGUGAAAAUGUCUAAGUAAAUUGUCUAGUCUUAUGUUGGUGAUGUUUUGAACAAGGAAAAUGACCCAAUAAGUAUGAAUUAUUAUUAUAUGAUAUUGUAAAAGUAUUACUAGCCAUGUAUUAUAAAAUUGAUGAUCGUGUUAGUUGAUGGUUAAUGAGGGGUUAAAGUUUCUAUUCAUGAAUAUGAACUUGAAUUGUGUGUUGAACUAAAGUGUGGUAAGAAUGUGGUCUAAGAUUACUAAUGAUAUGUGAACAGUUUGUGAAGGUCUUGAUGACCUUAAAUAGGAUUGUAUAAUAAAUUAAGUCAUUGGUCUAUUGAAAUAGUUGAGCAAUGAAGGCUCCCAUGAGAACCAUAUGGUCAUGUAUAGUAUUGAAUUGUCUAAAUGGGUUAAAGUCCUUAAGUGUGAAUUGAAUAGCUGAUGAUUUAUGGACAAAGGGUUGGAGUCCUAAUGUCGACUAGUGAUAGUCGUAAUGGCUCGAGGUUAAAGUCUCUUUCCUAAUGAAAGGGCUUGAGUUAAAGUCCCAUGCCUAAUGAAAUCGCUUAUGGUUAAAGUCCCUUGUACAAUAAGAUCUCUUGAGGUUGAAGUGCCUCGCCAAAUGAAAUGGCUUGGGUUAGAGUCCCCUAUCUAAUAAGGUAUGAGGUUAGAGUCCCUUGCCAAAUGUACAGGAAUGUGGUUAGGGUCCCUUGCCUAAAUGAAUGUGUGUGUGUGGUAAGAGUCCCUUGCCUAAAUGAAUAUGCAUGUGUGGUUAGAGUCCCUUGCUUAAAUGGAUAUGUGUGUGGUUAGAAUCCCUUGCUUAAUGAGUGUAUAGAUGGUUAAAGUCCUUAAUUUAAGUAAUAUAUAAAUGUGGUUGAAGUAUUAUACUUAAUAAGAAUUGUUUGAAUCUAAGUGUGGAAGGUCAGAGUCCUUCACUUUAUGUCUCAUGAUUGAGUGCUUUGAGAAUAUUGUUAAGGAUUGUUUACUUGUUUGGCAUGUGAUAUACCUACAUGUAUGGAUAAGGUCAUAAAGAUGGGUAAAUAUAAUAUAUUGACUUGUUGUUGAUUGAUGAUGUUAUUUUAUCCUUAUCCUAGAGUUAGAUGCUAGCGCUCCAAUUGCUAAUCAUCUCCGGAUGUUAUGUCCUUACACGACAUAGGGGUUGUUGACACCUAAUUUUUCCCCUCCACAACUACGUUUAAUCUCGAGUUUCUUCGAUUUUCAAAUAAAAUCACAACAAUUAUUUUUCCAAAUAAAGGCAUUUUAAAAUAGGCAUUUGGGCUAAUUUUGUCAUUUAAGUGAUAAUAAUAUAAUUUCGUAUUUGCAUAUACGAGAUUGUAUAAAUGAUGUCAUUUAAAUGAACAUCUUCAUCAAAUUGGGCUUUAAAUUAAGGAUUAUUUGAAAAAUAAAUAAAUAAUUAUAAUCUUAAUUUAAACAUCAUUUAUUCUGAAAAUAAUUUUGUUUGAUUUUAUCGAAUCAAGAAGUUUGGGGUUAAAACGGGUAUUAAUUCGUAUCGAAUUUAGUCUGUCUAUUAGAUUUGACCAUAAUUGAAAUCAAAUUGGCUAUGAUUGCAAUGCAAUUGACUAAUUAACUUUCAAUUUCGUUUAAAUUUAAAUAGAUGGCUAAAUUAGAACUGAAGUUAUUUCUGAACAACCUUUAGUCCAAUUGGGGUUUAUUUUUCCUAAAUUUAAUCGGGAUUAUUUUAACUUUUAACCCCAAUUAUUAACCCAAUUAAACUAAUACCAAUUGCCCAUUUCUUUUUCUUUUAAACGUUACCAGCCCAAUCCCUCCUAAAUAAUAUACUGCAGCCUCAAUUUGGCCCAAAUAUCCCAAUAAACCGCCCCAGCUAGCCCAACAAUAACAAUUUCUCCAACCAAGACCCCAACCCGGCCCAUUUCUUAUAAUCUUUAACAAUACUGCAGCUUCCAAACAGUGCCCAUAUCAACAACAAUCUCAUGAUCAACAGCUCCUAAAUCGCGAUGCGUCAACAACUUCGAAUCCGAUGAACCCAACCCAUCUAGCUCCACAUUUACCCGCUACCAACCCAUUCGUGGUCUUCCUCACUCCGUCACACUCGAGUCCAUAUGAGAAAGACCUAGAAGCUUCUAGAAAAGUGAUGCAUCAGCCCCUUCUAAUGUUCGAAUCGUAGAUCUUUCGGGUUGAUUGGUACGAUUUCGUACGUAGUUGGGGGAUUUUCAUUGACUAUUGAAUACCAUUUAUUUUUUCGAAAUGGUAUUGGUCCACGUAUUUCAAUUUCUUUGAAAAUUGGCAAUUGAUACCAAUUAUUAGUUGGAAAUUACAUCUUUAGUUGGAAUUUCAAAUUACCUCCACAGAAAAUCCUGAAAUUACCCUCGAUUGGUCUCUGUAGAGAGCUCACUGAUGAGCUGGGAAGGGGUUGGAAUUUUUGGUAGUCUAAAAAGGUUGAAAAAAAUUUAGGGUUUUCGUUUUCAGCUUGAGAGUCUCUUUUAGGGUUGGAGUCCUGGGAGUCAGAAAUUGGGUUUUCGACUUUUGGGGUUCAAAAAUCAGAGUUUGAAGAUCCUGGGGGUCAGGAUUCUUUUUUAUGUUCUCUUCUUUGAGGGUUCAAAUUUUUGUCCAGCAAAUUCUAGGGCCUUUAUUCAGGGAAGACAGAAGCCGUGAGAAACGAAGUUUUUCGAAAGUCGGGUUAGGAACUCUAAAAUCAAAAAGUUAUUUCGCAUAAUUUUCUCGUCACUUCUUUCUGGAAGCUAGUCACUCAAUUGGGAGUACCCGAGUUGACAACAUCAAGUUCCCAGCAAUGAUUACUAUGCUGAUAGCUCGUUUGUUCCAUUUUGCUACCCCGAAGGAGGUAAACAUACUCUUACCCCUUUUAACUUAUCGAUUUCUUCUUUAUCCCUCUUUCUUUAUGGUAAUAUUUGUUUGUUUGUUGAUGAAUAAGGCUGGGUUGUUCGCUGUAAAAAGCCUUAAAGGCCGUAGGUUUUGUGAAAGCAAUGUUGUCUGUAUUGUCUGGUUAUGAUGGUUUUGCCUUAGUUUCUAUUGCUUAUUUUGACAUUGUUGAUUAGUUUUGUCCUGUUUCUUAUUAAGUAUAGUGACCGUUGUGUGGGUCGAUGGUUUAUCAUCUAGAGUUGCUCCUUUGAUGGUCGUUCUAUUAUUUAUCUAAGUGUCAUUGGGUUUCAUUCGUUGUUAUUGUAGUCUAAAGUAUUUAAUGAAAAAUCCAAAGAUCUCUCGACGGUCGUGUCGUUUGAUCGAAAGAGAGGAUUAGAAUGAUUUGAUGACUCAUUCGUUGUGACUGUUUGACAUAGUUUUGGACUGUGUAUUUUCCUACUCAGCUGGUAACAUUGCUAGCAGAGCUGCCUCUCAAGUCUCUUUGGCUUCUCACGUGCCAAAGGGAUAAUGAGUAAGAGCCAAGAUGGGCUAUAAAUGCCUGUGAUUCCUCGAUGAUCAUAUCGGCUACCAAAAGCUUAUCCUUUUGGGUUUGUCGAAAAAAGAGUGAGGAUGAGGAUAGUAGACUUUGCUACGUUUCCAUUUGGUUUAAUGGGUUAUGUCUUUUGCCUCGUCUUAAAACUCGAAUUUUAGACUCCCAUCCUUCCUUGGGUUUCAUCCUCAGUGGGGAGACACAUUAGAAGGAUAAACAUGGUAAUAUUUUGGGGUACUAGAUAUUCGAAUGUGUCCUGUUCAGGGCAGUAGCCUAAUUUUGUUGUUAUCAUACUGCAUAUAAUUUAUGUUCAGGCUAAGGAUUCCCAAGGAUCUUUCUUUGUCAACAAUAAUCAAGAAGGUAGGGAUGAAUUUGCAUUUAUGUUACAUUCAAUAUAGGAUUAGGGAUGGGACAACACAUCAUAACUGUUUGUCUUCAUCCUGAAAUACCUGCUGCCAGGACCUAAUGCGGCAGGUAACUUAAGCACUCUUCCAGAUUCAAUUUUCCAAAUAAAGGCAUUUUAAAAUAGGCAUUUGGGCUAAUUUUGUCAUUUAAGUGAUAAUAAUAUAAUUUCGUAUUUGCAUAUACGAGAUUGUAUAAAUGAUGUCAUUUAAAUGAACAUCUUCAUCAAAUUGGGCUUUAAAUUAAGGAUUAUUUGAAAAAUAAAUAAAUAAUUAUAAUCUUAAUUUAAACAUCAUUUAUUCUGAAAAUAAUUUUGUUUGAUUUUAUCGAAUCAAGAAGUUUGGGGUUAAAACGGGUAUUAAUUCGUAUCGAAUUUAGUCUGUCUAUUAGAUUUGACCAUAAUUGAAAUCAAAUUGGCUAUGAUUGCAAUGCAAUUGACUAAUUAACUUUCAAUUUCGUUUAAAUUUAAAUAGAUGGCUAAAUUAGAACUGAAGUUAUUUCUGAACAACCUUUAGUCCAAUUGGGGUUUAUUUUUCCUAAAUUUAAUCGGGAUUAUUUUAACUUUUAACCCCAAUUAUUAACCCAAUUAAACUAAUACCAAUUGCCCAUUUCUUUUUCUUUUAAACGUUACCAGCCCAAUCCCUCCUAAAUAAUAUACUGCAGCCUCAAUUUGGCCCAAAUAUCCCAAUAAACCGCCCCAGCUAGCCCAACAAUAACAAUUUCUCCAACCAAGACCCCAACCCGGCCCAUUUCUUAUAAUCUUUAACAAUACUGCAGCUUCCAAACAGUGCCCAUAUCAACAACAAUCUCAUGAUCAACAGCUCCUAAAUCGCGAUGCGUCAACAACUUCGAAUCCGAUGAACCCAACCCAUCUAGCUCCACAUUUACCCGCUACCAACCCAUUCGUGGUCUUCCUCACUCCGUCACACUCGAGUCCAUAUGAGAAAGACCUAGAAGCUUCUAGAAAAGUGAUGCAUCAGCCCCUUCUAAUGUUCGAAUCGUAGAUCUUUCGGGUUGAUUGGUACGAUUUCGUACGUAGUUGGGGGAUUUUCAUUGACUAUUGAAUACCAUUUAUUUUUUCGAAAUGGUAUUGGUCCACGUAUUUCAAUUUCUUUGAAAAUUGGCAAUUGAUACCAAUUAUUAGUUGGAAAUUACAUCUUUAGUUGGAAUUUCAAAUUACCUCCACAGAAAAUCCUGAAAUUACCCUCGAUUGGUCUCUGUAGAGAGCUCACUGAUGAGCUGGGAAGGGGUUGGAAUUUUUGGUAGUCUAAAAAGGUUGAAAAAAAUUUAGGGUUUUCGUUUUCAGCUUGAGAGUCUCUUUUAGGGUUGGAGUCCUGGGAGUCAGAAAUUGGGUUUUCGACUUUUGGGGUUCAAAAAUCAGAGUUUGAAGAUCCUGGGGGUCAGGAUUCUUUUUUAUGUUCUCUUCUUUGAGGGUUCAAAUUUUUGUCCAGCAAAUUCUAGGGCCUUUAUUCAGGGAAGACAGAAGCCGUGAGAAACGAAGUUUUUCGAAAGUCGGGUUAGGAACUCUAAAAUCAAAAAGUUAUUUCGCAUAAUUUUCUCGUCACUUCUUUCUGGAAGCUAGUCACUCAAUUGGGAGUACCCGAGUUGACAACAUCAAGUUCCCAGCAAUGAUUACUAUGCUGAUAGCUCGUUUGUUCCAUUUUGCUACCCCGAAGGAGGUAAACAUACUCUUACCCCUUUUAACUUAUCGAUUUCUUCUUUAUCCCUCUUUCUUUAUGGUAAUAUUUGUUUGUUUGUUGAUGAAUAAGGCUGGGUUGUUCGCUGUAAAAAGCCUUAAAGGCCGUAGGUUUUGUGAAAGCAAUGUUGUCUGUAUUGUCUGGUUAUGAUGGUUUUGCCUUAGUUUCUAUUGCUUAUUUUGACAUUGUUGAUUAGUUUUGUCCUGUUUCUUAUUAAGUAUAGUGACCGUUGUGUGGGUCGAUGGUUUAUCAUCUAGAGUUGCUCCUUUGAUGGUCGUUCUAUUAUUUAUCUAAGUGUCAUUGGGUUUCAUUCGUUGUUAUUGUAGUCUAAAGUAUUUAAUGAAAAAUCCAAAGAUCUCUCGACGGUCGUGUCGUUUGAUCGAAAGAGAGGAUUAGAAUGAUUUGAUGACUCAUUCGUUGUGACUGUUUGACAUAGUUUUGGACUGUGUAUUUUCCUACUCAGCUGGUAACAUUGCUAGCAGAGCUGCCUCUCAAGUCUCUUUGGCUUCUCACGUGCCAAAGGGAUAAUGAGUAAGAGCCAAGAUGGGCUAUAAAUGCCUGUGAUUCCUCGAUGAUCAUAUCGGCUACCAAAAGCUUAUCCUUUUGGGUUUGUCGAAAAAAGAGUGAGGAUGAGGAUAGUAGACUUUGCUACGUUUCCAUUUGGUUUAAUGGGUUAUGUCUUUUGCCUCGUCUUAAAACUCGAAUUUUAGACUCCCAUCCUUCCUUGGGUUUCAUCCUCAGUGGGGAGACACAUUAGAAGGAUAAACAUGGUAAUAUUUUGGGGUACUAGAUAUUCGAAUGUGUCCUGUUCAGGGCAGUAGCCUAAUUUUGUUGUUAUCAUACUGCAUAUAAUUUAUGUUCAGUCUAAGGAUUCCCAAGGAUCUUUCUUGGUCAACAAUAAUCAAGAAGGUAGGGAUGAAUUUGCAUUUAUGUUACAUUCAAUAUAGGAUUAGGGAUGGGACAACACAUCAUAACUGUUUGUCUUCAUCCUGAAAUACCUGCUGCCAGGACCUAAUGCGGCAGGUAACUUAAGCACUCUUCCAGAUUCAAAUAUUUUUUUUGUGGCCAGGUGUAAUUAAGCUGUUGUCAUUGUCGAGGUUAUUAUUUUAAGUGAUAGAAAAAGCUAAAAAUUGGAAGAAAAUUGGUUUUCUUCGAAAGGGUAAGAAGUCAGCUACGGCUGCGAAUCAUGAGACAAACAUUAGGGAUCUCGUUCUCCAGGCUACUGUUGUGUGCUUUAUGCUUCGACUUCCUGAUGUUUACCUCCUUGAUAGAAUUUAAUAGCAUGUAAAUGUCUUCAAAACCUCGUCCAUCUGCUGACUAUUAUGUUUAGCUCGACAGAAUUUUGAAAUCAGUUUUCCUUUAGUGGUGUUGUUGGAGUGACCGAACAUGAAUCAUAGGUUAUUCUGAUCAUGAACAUCUCUCAAACAAACUUACAGUAUGUUAUGCAUUAUCUACGUUGUCCCUCAUCAUACGCUCUUGGGUACCAAGCAUGUCGUUUAUGCCAGAAUGUAAAUAAAAGUUUGCAUCAAGACAUCAUUUACUUAGCAUGCUAUUUGACUAUAUGAACACACCCUCAUUCUUUCUAAUUAGUCUUUCCUACAUUUUUGCUUUCUCAUGUGAUCGAGUAUAAGUGGUCGCUCUAUGCUUUAUUUCUUCAAAUGCUCCUACGCUACAUACCUUAUUUAUUUCCUUGAUUGGAUUUUUGUGUUUACAUUUUUCAAUUCCCUUUCUUUUUUUAGUUGAUCAUGUCUUUACAUUCUUUAUCUCUCCUGUUUUGCAUGAAUCCACUGUGGAGUUCAAGUGGACUGUCUCCGGUGCAUCCCUCAUCGGGCCAAUGAGGCCUAUCUUAUUGAGUCCAGUCCAAUGACCUAAAAGUGACCCUGCGGUGAUGAAUACGAGGAGUUAGAAAAAGAAAGGCGAGUUAAAGACCCACAUUUAAAGUGGCUAAGAGACUCCGAAGUCUCAUUUGUUGUUUAAUUUGUUUAAGUAUUAUUGUCUUUAUUUUAUUUUUCUUAUUUAUUCAUCAUUCAUUUGGGCCACAAAUCCAAAGUUUUAUUUAAUACAAUUGGAGCAAGAUUCAC
rnacentral:lncRNA from 1 species